CGACGCUCGUCGCGACGCCGGAUUUAAAAAUUGCAGCAAUGCUCUUAGUGAAUCAUCCAGAGAAGUACUUUGCUUGCUUAUCCUUCAACUUUAUCUGGGGAUCUCUCUGGACUACAAUGGUGCCAGGCUCUGGAACGCUACCUGGACACCUCACCGCAAUUGUUGUUAAUCAAAUCAAUUGCAUCUAUGAAUCACGCCAUUGUGUUUACCCGCAUGAUCAAUUAGCAAUUAAAUGGGCUACCGACAUUUAGAACUUCCAAGCAUUUGUUGACGUUCCAAAUUAAUCAAAGACCUAUUUUCAGUUUAUCGUAGAAUUGGAACGAAGUAAAUAAGGCUAUCUCAUUAAAAGAAAAAUUGUAUACAAUUCUCUCAAAAUAACCGUAGGCUGUGGUAUUUUUAGAAGGGAGCGGAGAAAAAGAGAUGUAAUUUUAUACAGCCGCGAUCCAUGCCAAACCAUAUAGGGCGGCACGAUUCGAGUAAAGACGACAGUAAUCGUGGAGACGAAAUGAACAGACGUCGUGUGCUGACUGCUGUUGCUGUAGCUGCAGGCCAAAGCGAAGCGCCGAAUGUUUCGCUUGUUCCGACGCUGCGGUUAAUUAUACAGUGGCGUCGGAAAACACUUGUCCAUAAAUUUGAUUACUUUCAAUCAGCGAGCCUUUGCUUUAUGGAUCAAUGCGAUCGAAUUGCUCCCAACCUAUUCAGCUUCCGGAAACAUUUCCUAAUUAUCGUACAGUGCGGACCUCAAUCGGAAAUCCUGGAUAUAGAGUAAAGGGUACAGUUGUUGGCACCCUGAUAGUCAUUGACAUUCAGAGAAUAAAUGCGCCUUUAAUAA
rnacentral:lncRNA from 1 species